CCUACGGGUGGCAGCAGUGAGGAAUAUUGGUCAAUGGUCGCGAGCCUGAACCAGCCAAGUAGCGUGAAGGAUGACGGCUCUACGGUUUGUAAACUUCUUUUAUAAAGGAAUAAAGUGAGGCACGUGUGCCUUUUUGUAUGUACUUUAUGAAUAAGGAUCGGCUAACUCCGUGCCAGCAGCCGCGGUAAUACGGAGGAUUCGAGCGUUAUCCGGAUUUAUUGGGUUUAAAGGGAGCGUAGAUGGUUUUUUAAGUCAGUGGUGAAAGUUUGUGGCUCAACCGUAAAAUUGCAAUUGAUACUGGAAGACUUGAGUACAGUUGAGGUAGGCGGAAUGCGUGGUGUAGCGGUGAAAUGCUUAGAUAUCACGAAGAACUCCGAUUGCGAAGGCAGCUUACUAAGCUGCCACUGACAUUGAUGCUCGAAAGUGUGGGGAUCAAACAGGAUUAGAUACCCGUGUAGUC
rnacentral:rRNA from 1 species